CCUUCGAUAGCUCAGUUGGAAGAGCGCGAGACUGUAAUUGGAUGGCUAUCUUGAGGUCGCUGGUUCGAUCCCGGCUCGAAGGA
rnacentral:tRNA from 1 species